GACGAACGCUGGCGGCGUGCCUAAUACAUGCAAGUAGAACGCUGAAGGAGGAGCUUGCUUCUCUGGAUGAGUUGCGAACGGGUGAGUAACGCGUAGGUAACCUGCCUGGUAGCGGGGGAUAACUAUUGGAAACGAUAGCUAAUACCGCAUAAGAGUAGAUGUUGCAUGACAUUUGCUUAAAAGGUGCAAUUGCAUCACUACCAGAUGGACCUGCGUUGUAUUAGCUAGUUGGUGGGGUAACGGCUCACCA
rnacentral:rRNA from 1 species